GAUCCUACGGGGCGCAGCAGUGAGGAAUAUUGGUCAAUGGGCGCAAGCCUGAACCAGCCAAGUCGCGUGAGGGAAGACGGCCCUACGGGUUGUAAACCUCUUUUGCCGGGGAGCAAGCCUGAGCACGUGUGCCCAGGCGGAGAGUACCCGGAGAAAAAGCAUCGGCUAACUCCGUGCCAGCAGCCGCGGUAAUACGGAGGAUGCGAGCGUUAUCCGGAUUCAUUGGGUUUAAAGGGUGCGCAGGCGGGCCUUUAAGCCGGCGGUGAAAACGCGGGGGUCAACCCCGCGGAGCCG
rnacentral:rRNA from 1 species